rnacentral:piRNA from 1 species
UGCAGGCAGGUAGCCAUGACCAGGGCAGC